GUCUUACGACUCUAAUUGCAUGUUGGGUCUAAGGGCUUGAAUCCAGGCCCUGGUGUGGAAAGUCCUCGAAUUCAUGUAUUCUUCUCUUGGGUCUGCACGGGUGUGCUGUGGGACUUGUACUAAAUAUAGCAAUGCAUUUUGAAUGAGAUUCCAAGAGCCUUUGAGCUAAUCAAAUCCUAAAUCAUAUUAUUAGAACUGCAUAAUCUGAUAUAAAACAAAAACUGAAAGAAAAAAGAAAACCUCGAUUCUCAUUCGGAGUUCCCUCGUUGAUGUUUCCAGUCUCGGCAGAAGCAAGAACACCUUCUUUCAGAUGAAGUUCCAAGGAAGAAAGGUGAACCAUUUUUGAAACUCCAAAUCCGAUGACUUCAGACCCCGUC
rnacentral:lncRNA from 1 species